ACCACUGUGUGUGUGUGUGUGUGUGUGUGUGUGUGUGUAUACACACACACACACACACACACAUUUUUAUUGGUUU